rnacentral:misc_RNA from 1 species
UAGGCAAUUUAGGCUAUGGCGCCUCUCUUCAAAAAGGCCCUCGCCCCUCGCCUAAGGCCAUAGGGUAACCUCUCACCUAAGUGUCGCAUUUCGCCUUAAUAACACCAUGUGAGACAACACACUUCCCUCAUGCCUAGGCAUAAGCAUCUAGAGUGUGAAGUUUGCAGGCAUGAUUUUUUGCGGGUGGAACAAUAUCGAGACAAUGGUUGACUUUGAUACCAUGUUAAAAUUUAGAAGGUUAGAAAAGAUAGGAAAAAAGUGGCAAGAGAAGGAUAUAUAUGGUUCAGCUAUGGAGAGCCUACAUCCACGGACUCUAAUAGAGACAAUUAUGUACUCAUAUAUUUUCAUUUUGUACAUUCUCAAGAUGUUCCAACUGUAUUUAUAUGUUACUUGCAAGAUUGAGGAAUUAAUUUAACUCUUUCCUCUCAUAAUAAAUGUUGUUGGGAGAUGGGAGACUUAUAAACUAUAGGAAUAAUUAAUUAUCUAAAUUUCACACAGUUUUCAUCAAGAAAGAAAUUUUCUGUAAGUGGACUGUUGAAAAGAUAUAAACAGGUGUUCCAAAUCAAUAUAACCUUAAUCAGAUAGCUAAAUGAACCAAACUUAGCUUAUUACAAAAACUAUUAGUUCCUUUUUAUAAAAAAACAAGGGGUGUCCCUCCAAAGUAUGCCCAACCAAUGCAAGUGAAAAGAGGAUUGAGCUUUUUAUUUUUUGUUGAAUAUUUAACUUCCUGUCAUAAAUAAACAAGGAAGUCAGCAAUUUUAAAUGCAUUUCCCUAAUAAAUAAAUUUUAUUGGUCAUUAAAAAAAAUGGAUUAAAGUCUCAUUUAUAUGUUAUAUACAAUUUACAUAAAAGAAAUUCAAAAAUAAAUGAUGAUUUGUGAAUAAUAUACAUACAAAUAUUUGGAAUGAAGUUGGCUCCUGGAAAAAUGUGAUUUGAAAGGUUUGCUUUAAACUGUACCAUAAAUUAUGGUGUUUUGUGCAUUGCAUGUUUACUUCUGGGGGUCUACAUAUUUACUUGCAAUGGUCAGGUAUAUCAGUUUCACUUCUAUUCAAAAUUUUGAUGGCUUGUGUAGUUAGUGUUUUAACAUCAAUUUCAAUAAGUAUCCUUGCAUCUUUUUAGAAAUGUUGUAAGUAUUGCUAAAAUGAUUACGCAGUGCCUAAUGAUAAGGAGGGAUCGUUUGGCAACCCUUGCAUUCCCAAAGGAUAUGAGCUGGCAUCCAAUGCAAGUGAUGCCAAACUUCUCUUAUCGCAUCCAGCUGGAAACUUUACUGCCUGCAGACUUGAAGCUUUGGCAUUGUUGAAGAGUAGACAAGCAAAAUGCUUACAUUCGCCAUGUAAAAUUGUGCCAUCUUUGUUCUCGGAGCUACAAGGCAAGCAUGUUUCUCAAGAAACCUUGUUCUAUACUUCUGAGUUCUUUGGCCUGGCUCCUAGGACUACUUUGUUUGAAUUGGAGGCAGUUGGGCAACAUUACUGUGAAAAUGAUUGGGAUGAACUGAGAAGUCAACAUCAUGGCAUUGAUGAUAUGGAUUUGUUGAGAUAUUGUUUUUCUUCUGCAUACAUGGUAGCACUGUUGCAUGACAGCCUUGGAAUUCCAAUGAAUGAUAAAAGAAUUGGUUUUGCAAAUUAUACUGGAAGCUUUCAUCUUGACUGGAGUCUUGGAGCUUUUAUCCUGCAAUCCAUGCUGGAGCCCCUUGACAUGGAAAUUGAUAACCUUGACCAAAUUGUUGGAAACGAGUCAGUGACAUACUUCUCAUUGUUUGCUUUUCUUCUAAUAGUUUUGCUUGCUGUAUUUUUCCUACUACAAUGGCGAAAACCACAGUUGAAAACAGUAUAUGAUCUAGAAAAAGGGCACUAUAUUGUCACACGGGUGCCCAGGUGAUUGUCACCCAACCAUUUUGUUCUUGUGAGAAUAAUAUAUGUGCAUUCUGUUGUAUUUUUAUGGAUUCAAGUCACACGUAGGGAGAUUUUUAUCUUUUAUUUUAGGAAAAAAGUGAAUUCAUUUAAUAAUUAGUUGAAUCAAGUUCUUCAUUUAUAAAGGAUGACUCUUCAAUCCACAUCCCACAUUGGAGGCGUACACAGGUGGAUUGG